rnacentral:misc_RNA from 1 species
AUAUUAAUUAAAUAAAAUAAAAAGAUUUAUUUACAAAUAAAAGCAGAAAGCUAAAAAUAUUAUCUGCAUAGUGCCAUAUGUAAGGCAAUUGUUGGAUAAUUAGUCCACUUCCAUACCAUUUUGUUAUGUCAGUGCUAUAUAACACAUGCUUUGGUAAGCCUAUUGCAGAGUUAUCUUAAUUCCACUUUUCCAAAGUUAAAGUAUGUAAUGAGACAUUUAAAAGUUCGAAGUGCCAUAACUUUUUUGGUAAAAUUGAGGAGUGAAGCUAGGUAUUUGGUCUUUUCUCUGAUAUAGAGGAUAUGGACAAUCGUUAUAUAUGUAUAGCAUCACAUACAAAACCAAUAUUAUAUACAUUCAAUAAUUUCUCUUUUUUUUUUUUUACAAGAAUUUUUUGGGGUUUAGAUCAGAAAUGGUGGGAUUGAGGCAAAUAUUUAAUUAUUGGCUUUUAUGAUGAAAUUUUAAAAUUGCAUAUACUGUGUUACUUAUGGUUGCUUUUUAAUUGUACAGAUUUGUUGUAUUAUUUGAAG